rnacentral:tRNA from 1 species
UCGCCAAUAGUUUAUUAUAAAAUGUAACUUUGUGGAAGUGGAGAUGGGUGUUUAACCCUUGGCAAA